CCUCGUAGUUGCAGUUUACAGGAUACCCAAGUUCGUAAUUGGAAGGGUCACAAUUAUUAUUCUGGAGAUAGUCGUCAAGUUACUCAGAGUAAUAGCAGUCUGAAGCAAUAUGGCAAUCAAGCAGAUUCUUCUUGGGUUCCUCGUAGUCAUGCUUAUCAGAAUGCCCAAGGUCGUAAGUGGC